rnacentral:rRNA from 1 species
AACGAACGCUGGCGGCAUGCCUAACACAUGCAAGUCGAACGAGACCUUCGGGUCUAGUGGCGCACGGGUGCGUAACGCGUGGGAACCUGCCUUUAGGUUCGGAAUAACUCAGAGAAAUUUGAGCUAAUACCGGAUGAUGUCUUCGGACCAAAGAUUUAUCGCCUUUAGAUGGGCCCGCGUUGGAUUAGCUGGUUGGUGGGGUAAAGGCCUACCAAGGCGACGAUCCAUAGCUGGUCUGAGAGGAUGAUCAGCCACACUGGGACUGAGACACGGCCCAGACUCCUACGGGAGGCAGCAGUGGGGAAUAUUGGACAAUGGGGGAAGGCCUGAUACAGCAAUGCCGCGUGAGUGAUGAAGGGCUUAGGGUUGUAAAGCUCUUUUACCCGAGAUGAUAAUGACAGUAUCGGGAGAAUAAGCUCCGGCUAACUCCGUG